UGCCCCGGGUGAGGCUCGAACUCACGGCCUUCAGAUUAGGAGACUGACGCGCUGCCUACUGCGCUACGAGGC
rnacentral:tRNA from 1 species